GUUCCCAAGUAGUUCACAUGUAAUUGUGUGUUCUUGAAGUGCAGAGCAAUCCACCACAACCACGACGCGAAGGACUCCAAGCUACAAUUUCUGCAUCACUAAAACAAAAAAACAACAGUAAUGCAUCCAAGUUCUGAACCUGGAACACUAUGAAGAUGCAAGGGCUUGCUGCAUAUGGAUAUUUGUUUUGCUUAUUGGUUUAUUUAGGAUCUAGAUCACCGAUGACUAUGAGUCAUAUGUAAAUAUAUUUUGAUCAUACCAAAAGUGUCUCGAACAUAUAUUAUAUAUGAAACUAUGGAUCAACUUCUUGUAAUGCAAUUAUUGAUUUUUAAUAUAUAUUAUUUUUUCUUCUU